rnacentral:tRNA from 1 species
GCGCCCGUAGCUCAGUGGAUUAGAGCAUUGGUCUUCGGAACCAGGGGUCGCGGGUUCGAAUCCUGCCGGGCGCGCCA